CCUACGGGCGGCUGCAGUGGGGAAUAUUGGACAAUGGGGGCAACCCUGAUCCAGCCAUGCCGCGUGUGUGAAGAAGGCCCUCGGGUUGUAAAGCACUUUCAGUGAGGAAGAACGCCUGGUGGUUAAUACCCAUCAGGAAAGACAUCACUCACAGAAGAAGCACCGGCUAACUCCGUGCCAGCAGCCGCGGUAAUACGGAGGGUGCGAGCGUUAAUCGGAAUUACUGGGCGUAAAGCGCGCGUAGGUGGCUUGAUAAGCCGGUUGUGAAAGCCCCGGGCUCAACCUGGGAACGGCAUCCGGAACUGUCAAGCUAGAGUGCAGGAGAGGAAGGUAGAAUUCCCGGUGUAGCGGUGAAAUGCGUAGAGAUCGGGAGGAAUACCAGUGGCGAAGGCGGCCUUCUGGACUGACACUGACACUGAGGUGCGAAAGCGUGGGUAGCAAACAGGAUUAGAUACCCAUGUAGUC
rnacentral:rRNA from 1 species